UACAGAGACUGCAAGCGUUAUUCGGAUUUACUGGGCGUAAAGGGCGCGUAGGCGGUCCUGUAAGUCUUGUGUGAAAUCCCUCGGCUUAACUGAGGAACUGCACGAGAUACUGCGAGACUUGAGUUCGGGAGAGGAAAGCGGAAUUCCGGGUGUAGCGGUGAAAUGCGUAGAUAUCCGGAGGAACACCGGUGGCGAAGGCGGCUCACUGGCCCGAUACUGACGCUGAGGCACGAAAGCGUGGGGAGCAAACAGG
rnacentral:rRNA from 1 species